CAUCCCUCCCACAUCAUCUCUGUCUCCUCACCUCGCGCUCGUCGCUCGUGCUCGACUCGCUCCACCAGCCCCGCUCGCCGUGGGGCACAACCUUCCACCACCACCCCCUUCGUCGCCGACCACGCGCUUAGAGACGUCUAGGUCGCCGGUGUUGGCGACCUGCUCUGUGACACUUGUGGCUCCGGCGACCUGCUCCUCUACGACCGCAGCCACCACACCUUCCGCCUCCCCCCAAUCGCCACCAAGGUGCCCAUCCAGUCGCCUCCCCAUCCGGCCACACCACCAUGCUGUCAACGGCCGCGUGCCUCGCAGCUCGACACCUCCUCAGCCUUACCUCUGCAUCGAAAGCCAUCAGCCUCUCGCUUGCUUCGUUUCCAGUCGAGCCUCUUCUCUGCCCAACUCAUACCCCCACCAUUCCCCCAAACUCGAUUCCAGGAUUAGCAGCUUUCGACGCUCUAAACAUGGUCCACCAC
rnacentral:misc_RNA from 1 species